ensembl:snoRNA
AAGCCAAUUACUCAGCUUAUCUGAAUGUGUUUCUGCAGAAAUUUAGAAAUAGUUGGCAAUACUGUUGUCAUAUUAGGAGGCUUAAGGACAAAUGGUGUCAUUAUGGUCCCUCAAAAUGGCUACAAUA